rnacentral:rRNA from 1 species
UGUCAAAGUUGGCAUGUGAUACCUUUUUCGGAAAGCCCAAAGAGAGCCCUCGGAUGAAAGAAGCAGGACAAUGGAACAUAUGUAUUGAGUUUUUGUCGACUCCAAAUUUUGACCUUUAGUUAAGCGUGCUUGGGCUAGAGUAGUACUAGGAUGGGUGACCUCCCGGGAAGUCCUCGUGUUGCAUCCCUCUUUUUUAUUAAUUUGUUUUUUUUUUGUUAAAAAUUUAUGACUCCAUAACUUCUAGACCG